rfam:Ixodes scapularis strain Wikel colony gcontig_1108379860062, whole genome shotgun sequence.
CCCUGGUUAGUUCAGUUGGUAGAGCGCUCCACCGGUAAUGGAGAGGUCCCGGAUUUGAUACCCGGACCAGGCG